rnacentral:rRNA from 1 species
GACGAACGCUGGCGGCGUGCUUAACACAUGCAAGUCGAGCGGUAAGGCCCUUCGGGGUACACGAGCGGCGAACGGGUGAGUAACACGUGGGUGACCUGCCUCUAGCUCUGGGAUAAGCCUGGGAAACUGGGUCUAAUACCGGAUAUGACUCCACGGCGCAUGUUGUGGGGUGGAAAGCCUUGUGUGGCUAGAGAUGGGCCCGCGGCCUAUCAGCUUGUUGGUGGGGUGAUGGCCUACCAAGGCGACGACGGUAGCCGGCCUGAGAGGGCGACCGGCCACACUGGGACUGAGACACGGCCCAGAC